UACGUAGGUGGCAAGCGUUGUCCGGAAUUAUUGGGCGUAAAGCGCGCGCAGGCGGACCUUUAAGUCUGAUGUGAAAGCCCACGGCUCAACCGUGGAGGGUCAUUGGAAACUGGGGGACUUGAGUACAGAAGAGGAAAGUGGAAUUCCACGUGUAGCGGUGAAAUGCGUAGAGAUGUGGAGGAACACCAGUGGCGAAGGCGACUUUCUGGUCUGUAACUGACGCUGAGGCGCGAAAGCGUGGGGAGCAAACAGG
rnacentral:rRNA from 1 species